CACACACUGACAUACAUAUGGACACACGGAGACACAUACACUAACAGACAUGCUGACACACACACACAUAUACUGACAGACAUAUUGACACACAUUCACAGACACACACACAGGCAUACUGACACACACACGCACUGACAGACAUACUGACACAUACACUGACAGACAUACUAACACACACACGCACUGACAGAAAUACUGACACACACACGCACUGACAGACAUACUGACACAUACACUGACAGACAUACUGACACACACACGCACUGACAGACAUACUGACACACACACGCACUGACAGACAUACUGACACACGCACUGAAAGACAUACUGACACACGCACUGACAGACAUACUGACACACGCACUGACAGACAUACUGACACACGCACUGACAGACAUACUGACACACGCACUGAC